rnacentral:rRNA from 1 species
GACGAACGCUGGCGGCGUGCUUAACACAUGCAAGUCGAACGGAAAGGCCCUGCGUUUGUGGGGUGCUCGAGUGGCGAACGGGUGAGUAACACGUGAGUAACCUGCCCUUGACUUUGUGAUAACUUCAGGAAACUGGGGCUAAUACCGGGUAGGAGCUCCUGCUGCAUGGUGGGGGUUGGAAAGUUUCGGCUGUUGUGGAUGGACUCGCGGCUUAUCAGCUUGUUGGUGGGGUAGUGGCUUACCCAGGCUUUGACGGGUAGCCGGCCUGAGAGGGUGAACGGGGACAAGGGGACUGAGAGACGGCCCAGACGGCUACGGGCGGCAGCAGUGGGGAAUAUGGCACAAUGGGCCGAAGCGUGAUGUAGAAACGCCGCGUUCGUGAUGCCGGCUUUUGGGGUGUAAACAGCUGUCGAAUGAGACGAAGCCGGAGUGACGGUAACUGGUAAAGAAGCACCGGCUAACUACGUG